UACAGAGGGUGCGAGCGUUAAUCGGAAUUACUGGGCGUAAAGCGCACGUAGGUGGCUUUGCAAGUCGAUUGUGAAAUCCCCGGGCUUAACCUGGGAACUGCAGUCGAGACUGCUCUGCUUGAGUAUGGGAGAGGGAGGUGGAAUUUCCGGUGUAGCGGUGAAAUGCGUAGAUAUCAGGAGGAACACCGAUGGCGAAGGCAGGUCUCUGGGCAUUAACUGACGCUGAGGAGCGAAAGCAUGGGGAGCGAACAGG
rnacentral:rRNA from 1 species